GAGGACUCUGAUGAAGAAUGGACUCCAAGGCAGCAAGUGAAAUCUUCUUGGGUGACCUUCAGAAGGGAACAGAGUAAACACCAGAAGGUGUGGACACUGAAGACAACUAGCUACUGCUACAGCCUUAUUCAAACAAUUGGUGGGAACCAGCUCAUCUAAGUACAAAUAUUCUUUCCAAGGUAUUGCAAACAUUUAUCAUUUUAGCUAUUGUCUAGACAUGUUUCUGCCAACUAUUUAUUCUCUUCCCAAUAUCCUUCACUCUCAAUUUUAUAGAGACAGUUGAAAGAAAAGCCAUAAGCUAUGGAUUCUAAUCUUACAUUCAUUACCCACAUUGGCCCUAUACCCUCUAAUAUUCAUACUCCUGAGGUAUUUUCAAGGGUUCAAGUAUUAAAGACAUGCAUGUAAAUUAUAUGA